GGCUUGUGGCUCAGCGGUAGAGCACUUGCCUUGCUCGUGCAAGGUCCUGGGUUCGAUCCUCAGCACCA
rnacentral:tRNA from 1 species